rnacentral:lncRNA from 1 species
CCACGGGGGAGGGGGCCUCAAGCCUGAGCUCCCCACAAAGCAGACUCUGAGAUGAGGGUCUGGGUGUAGGCAGCUUACUUGGGGGCCGAUCCAGGAAGUGUGCGAGGGGCGGGGGAGAGUGAGACAGGAGGAAGGAAGGCUGUGAAGCGCGUCAGUGAGUGAGUUACUGCCACGGCAGGCAGUUCACCCUGAGGGGCCCUCACACCCUGGGGUUGGGUGGCCCCGGGGUUGGGAGUGCCUCCACUGAUCCGUCCCACUUGGGCUGAGAGGAUGGGAAGGAACCUCUGAACUUGUAGGCUGCUCCAUCCUGGAAACCCCCUUCAUCCCAGGAGGCACAGAAACCCGGGCCAGGGUGGGCUAGGGGACCACAGGUGAGGUCUCCGUCUGCUGGGAGGGGGCUCCGGAAGCUAAGGGACUUUCAGACAGGUGGGCAGGGGUCACUCAGGACCCAUUCCAAGCAGGCCAAGGAGCAAGUGCCAGGGAAGAUUCUUCCUCCGGGUUUCUCUCCAUCACCGCCUCCCGCCCUGGGUGGCCUCUCACAUCACUAGGCCCGGGGUCACUUUGCGUCCCAGGAGAGGCAGAGAAGAUAGCACAUGGCAGGAAUCCAGCCUCCUCGGGCUACAGGGAAGGAGAGAAUAGUAAAGGAAGAGCCUUAAAUACCCCUCAACUGUUCAAGGAUUGGAGAUUUGCACUAAAUCUCAGGAAAAAGGAGUAAUUACGCUGUCAGCAAAGCUCUGGAUCUUCCACUGGAGGCAGCUCUGCUUGGCCUAUGCAGUCCCUCAGACCCGAGAGAAAGCCGCAGAGAAUGGGAAGGAGCACGCAACCUUGCCCUGUUGUCAGACCACCUCUUCGACCUCAUCACAUCCUCCAGGUGCUGCCCAAGAGGAAGACGCAGUGAGGGAUGGAAUGACUGGAGAAGGAUAAAGGGGCUAGAAAAGCCAUGUGUAGGAUAAUAAAAAAUGUGAUGAAACAAGACUGUCACCAGGAGAGAAAGCCAGUUCAGAGAAGAGGCUGCCCAUCCUCCAGCCUCAGCUUCUCCAAGGCAGAAUGGAAAGAGCGUUGGAUAGGAAAGCACAAAACGUGGGGUAGAGCCUGUGUCUGCCACUGCCUGGCUGAUCACCUGGGCAACCUGCUCGACAUCUCGGAGCCCAUUUGUCUGAGCGUGGAGUGGCGCAGCUGGAUGAAAGAGACUAAGUUCUUCUCCAGCCCUGAGCCUCUAAGGGGUUGAGGGCUCUGUGUCAUGGGUGUGGCUUUAAGAAGAAUGCAAGAGGACACAAGGGUAACCUCCUGUGUGGUGGAAAUCUUCAGCAGCUCCUGGGGUAUGGGGGGCUCGAGGAAGGGAGGGUCCCAGGGGAGCAGAGGAAGGAGCUGAUAGAGACAGACACAGAGAGACCCCCUCUCUCACUGUUGGCUUGUGACCUUGGAC